AAUGUAGGUAUACAUUGUUAUUGUGUUUAUGAGCUAAUCCAUCUGGUAUACAUAUAUUGUACUUUCAGCAUUUACUUCUUUCUAGAAAAGUCGCUUUUUUUUCUGUGCUUUCUUUUUUUUCUUUUCUUUAUUCAAGAUUUUAAGAGUUUUAGUUUUUAACUCAUAGCCUGGUCAACUGAAACAUAAAAAUAGAUAGAUAGAUAGAUAGAUAGAUAGAUAGAUAGAUAGAUAGAUAGAUAGAUAGAUAGAUAGAUAGAUAGAUAGAUAAAUUAACUUAAUUCUUAUGAGGAAAGUUAAAUGUUUUAAACUUGUUUGUGUGCUUAACCAUGUAGUAUUUGUUCGAGACGCAAAAGUCAACAAAGCAUGUUAUUUUCUCAUUUAGGGGUAUUUAUCAGAAUCAGAAUACCUUUAUUAGUCCCACUGAGGAGAAAUGUAUAUUGUUACAGCAGAAAAGAGCAGCUUAAUGUUACCUAAGAAAUUAUUUACGUAUUCAUGUUUCUUUAUUAUAAAAUCCUACUAAAUACACGUUUUCUACAUCUUUGCUGUUUUUUUGUUGUUUGUUCUUUGCUAAACACAAUUAACAAAGUUAUUUAUUGUAUCUAUGGAACCACCACAAAUAUUACUACAGCCUACCCGGGGAAUUUUUAUUUUUUGGACAAAACCUUUUUUUUCAACUGAAUUACUCAACUAGCUCAGAAGAAAUGGUGAGCGAAGAGGAUUUCGAAAUGUGAAUACUGCCACAGGAGUUACAGAGUGUGGACAUCAACCUGCAGUCAUUCUGGUCAAACUGAUGUUCUGCAGAGGAGGAGUGCAACACUUCCUGUUGCGACGUAGCCUGUAUCCUGUUUUCCACAGUCAGUGGUCAUGCGUGUCAUUCCCCUCUGCAAGGCUGUGUUGGCACAAUCUCGUGACCCUGCACUGUCAAUCUUAUGAGACUGAAUCAAGGGAGAGACUCCGCAUGUCUGAGAAAACUCUGAAAGUCAGCAAAAAAUAUGUAAAACAGCACGACAAAAGCACCCUGUUGAGAAAUGACUGACUUUAUUCUCUCUUGCUAGCAGUUGGUAAGAAAGACUACAGUAAAUAACAGAUAUUUUUCAUUGAAUAACCUGUGUUUAAAGUGUUAAGUAGGCUGUAGCAGUUGCAGUGCUUCCUCCAGAAUAUUACUAGGCUCCUAAUAGAAGUGCAUAUGAAGAUAGUGAUGAGAACAUUGACACCUCUAUACACUCGAGGGGCCAAAAAACACUAUAUGCAUAUCUCGUGACUGCAUUUAGACAGAAAAGGGCUCAGUUACACACUGUGGUGCUAGGUGCAAGAAAGCAACACUCAGAGAUACUGCAGGUCUCUAUAAUGUAACUUCACACUUCGGAACAAAUAUAACAAUGUUGUCAACUUAAUGUUUUACUGUUAUUUUGCUGUUGAUGUUUUUAUAGAGUGAAAGAAGUCUAUUCAGUCCCUGCAUGUUGACAUAUUCACUUGAAAAAACCUGCUUAUUAUAAGGAAAUCCAAUGCAUUAGCUCUUUAGUUCAGGCUAUAGUCAGUGUGUUGUAUGGUUUUCCUGGUUCUUCAAUUGUUGCUACUUCCCACAACAUCUGUCCAAAGUUGACAACAUGUGUGUACCAGCGCCUUCAGAAGCUCACUUACCCGCUACAACUGGCCAAUACAUACACAGUCAUGUAAUCCCCCCCUCUGCUAGCCUUUAUGUUGGCUAAUGUCAACUAAUGUCACCAAAAUGAUAAAAGGCUUUGCUGUUUCACUGACAUUACUGAGCCAGUGUCAAUUGUAUGAUUCAUUUCCAGUUGUGUUACAAUGUGUAGCAAUUGACACUAAAUUGCUGCAAUUGACAGUUGCUGUUGAUUAACUAAACUUAUCUAAGAUUUCUUUAAGUAAAUAUAGUAAUGUGCUUAGUUACAUUCCACCUCUGCUAACCUUAAAUUGUGAGGCUUUUCUGUUAUUUCAUCAGCUGUGAACAAGUGUGGGUGCAUGAAUAACAGAGGUUAAAUAACACAGACUUAGCUAAAACGGGACAUUGUAAGAGUCACAUGUUGUUCAGGGCUAAUACAUGGAUUUAACUAUAUUAAGCAAGUGUUAGUGGGUCCACCACUGAAACAUUACAGUUCAUAUAGCAGGAUCCUUGUUUAUUUGGUUAAAGGAGUUCAAACACCAGUACAUGUAUCAAGCAAUCAAACCGAUCUGCCACCAAUUGUACAUUUUUGAAGAUUAUAAUGUUUACUUUUUGUUAAUAAAUGUUUUAAUUCAAGAAAUGUAGUAAUUGGAUUACAUUAUGUUGAAUUAGGAUUGUACCUAAUAAAGUUGUCACUGAGUGUAUUAUAGGCCCAAAGUAUAUCAAAUAAUGUGCAUUUCUUUAAACUAAAAACAAUGAAUGAUCUUUCAGGGUAUUUUUGUUAUGUUGUAAUCUGCCUGCAGAAAGUGAAACAGACGAGUUAAAGGAUUUAUCAAAAACGCUCUGGGCUUAAAAUAAAUGAAUCUGGGUUUUUUCUA